GAUGAAGAACGUAGCAAAAUGCGAUAAGUAAUGCGAAUUGCAGAAUUCAGUGAAUCAUCGAAUCUUUGAACGCACAUUGCGCCCGCCAGUACUCUGGCGGGCAUGCCUGUCUGAGCGUCAUUUCAACCCUCGCGCCCGGCUUCUGUCGGGGGCGGUGUUGGGGAUCGGCCUCCCGUCUUCCGGGCGGCCGGCCCCUAAAUGGAGUGGCGACCGCGCCGUAGCCUCCUCUGCGUAGUAGUGAAACCCUCGCGGGCGGAGAGCGGUGCGGCCCGCCGUAAAACCCCCAACUCUUCUAAGGUUGACCUCAGAUCAGGUAGGAAUACCCGCUGAACUUAAGCAUAUCAAUAAGCGGAGGA
rnacentral:misc_RNA from 1 species